rnacentral:rRNA from 1 species
UACAGGGGGUGCAAACGUUGCUCGGGAAUCAUUGGGCGUAAAGAGCUCGUAGGCGGUGUGUCACGUCGGCCGUGAAAACCUGCAGCUUAACUGUGGGCGUGCGGUCGAUACGGGCAUCACUGGAGUUCGGCAGGGGAGACUGGAAUUCCUGGUGUAGCGGUGAAAUGCGCAGAUAUCAGGAGGAACACCGGUGGCGAAGGCGGGUCUCUGGGCCGAUACUGACGCUGGAG